rnacentral:ncRNA from 1 species
CGACAAGCGAUGAUGGGAUUAAGUAGCGGUCGAAUUUGCUUUUCAGAGAGCAGGCGGUUGGUGAGAGCCUUGCAGCUAACGGCGCAGCGAAUUACCUCCCUGAGCAUCUUCUGUGAACGAUUAGUAGCGGGAGACGGCUGCAGCCGUUAACUUUAAUUAAGUGACUGUUUCUAUAAGAGUUUAUUCGAAAAGGUGACUUUUCAAACAACCUCUAUGAAAAGCAGUCGACAAGGAUGGUACCGUGCGAUAAGCGCUCCUUUU